GGUCGAUUGGUGUAGUGGUUAUCACAUCUCCUUUACACGGAGAGGGCCCUGGGUUCAAUCCCCAGAUCGACCU